AUGGGGCCGGCGGUGGCGUGGGAGGAACGGCGGACGCUGGUUCUGGUGAACCUGGCGUCCAUCAUGGAGCGCGCCGACGAGGCGCUGCUGCCGGCGGUGUACCGGGAGGUCGGAGCCGCCCUGCACGCCACGCCCACGGGCCUCGGCGCGCUCACCCUGUACCGCUCCAUCGUGCAGGCCGCGUGCUACCCGCUGGCCGCGUACGCCGCUUCCCGCCACAACCGCGCCCACGUCAUCGCCGUGGGGGCGUUCCUCUGGGCCGCCGCGACCUUCCUCGUCGCCAUCUCCGAAACCUUCCUCCAGGUGGCGAUUUCGAGAGGCCUGAACGGCAUCGGCCUGGCUCUCGUCAUACCGGCGGUCCAGUCACUGGUGGCCGACUCCACCGACGACGACCACCGCGGCACGGCCUUCGGGUGGCUGCAGCUGACCAGCAGCAUCGGGUCCAUCAUCGGGGGCUUCUCCGCCCUGCUGCUGGCGCCGACCACCAUCUUCGGGGUCGAGGGCUGGCGCUUCGCGUUCCACCUCGUGGCGGCCAUCAGCGUCGUCGUGGGCGCCCUCGUGUGGUUCUUCGCCGUCGACCCCAACUUCCGGACGGACGUAGCAUCGGCGGCGGAGAAACGGUCCGCGUGGGACGAGGCCAGGGAGCUGCUCAGGGAGGCCAAGUCGGUGAUCCAGAUCCCGACGUUCCAGAUCUUCGUGGCGCAGGGCGUGAGCGGCUCGUUCCCGUGGUCGGCCAUGUCGUUCCUGUCCAUGUGGCUGGAGCUCAUCGGGUUCAGCCACGGGGAUACCGCCGUCUACAUGACGAUGUUCUCCGUCGCGACGUCCCUGGGCGGCCUCCUCGGCGGCAAGAUGGGCGACGCCCUCGCCCGGCGGUACCCGAACGCCGGGAGGAUCGUGCUGUCCCAGAUCAGCGCCGGCUCGGCCGUGCCUCUGGCCGGCAUCCUGCUCCUCGGCCUCCCGGAUGACCCGUCCACCGGCCUCGCGCACGGGCUCGUCCUCUUCGUCAUGGGACUGAUCAUCUCCUGGAAUGCAGCCGCGACAAACAGCCCGAUCUUCGCGGAGAUCGUGCCGGUGAAAUCAAGAACGAGCAUCUACGCGCUGGACAGGUCGUUCGAGUCGAUCCUGGCCUCGUUCGCGCCGCCGGCCGUGGGCUUCCUGUCGCAGCACCUCUACGGGUUCAGGCUGGCGGACGGCGGCGCAGGGAAGGCCACCGCCGAGAGGGACCGGGAGAACGCGGCGUCGCUGGCCAAGGCGCUGUACACGGCCAUCGCCAUCCCCAUGACGGUGUGCGCGCUCAUAUACUCGCUGCUGUACCGCACGUACCCGCGGGACAGGGAGCGCGCGCGGAUGCAGUCGCUGAUCGGGUCGGAGCUGCAGCACAUGGAGCUGCUCGAGGAGGGUGGCGACGGCGACGAGCAGUUCGAACUCUUCGAAACGGAAGCGGAUGACAGUGACGUGGGAACCAAGAAGCUGCUGGCGAACCGGGAGUCCUGA
rnacentral:rRNA from 1 species